rfam:Musa acuminata subsp. malaccensis Doubled-haploid Pahang (DH-Pahang) genomic chromosome, chr11
GGAUCAAGUGAUGAGAAAACUGCAACAAUUUGAUGGAGAUACCUCUCCAUGAUUCCUCGUAUUUGAGUUUCCGAUGGUACC